AUUCUGCCGGAUGACGAGUCCAGCACAGGACGAAACGCUUGUCCAGAAU
rnacentral:hammerhead_ribozyme from 1 species